UACGAAGGGGGGCUAGCGUUGCUCGGAAUUACUGGGCGUAAAGCGCACGUAGGCGGAUCUUUAAGUCAGGGGUGAAAUCCCGAGGCUCAACCUCGGAACUGCCUUUGAUACUGGGGAUCUCGAGUCCGGGAGAGGUGAGUGGAACUGCGAGUGUAGAGGUGAAAUUCGUAGAUAUUCGCAAGAACACCAGUGGCGAAGGCGGCUCACUGGCCCGGAACUGACGCUGAGGUGCGAAAGCGUGGGGAGCAACAGG
rnacentral:rRNA from 1 species